rnacentral:rRNA from 1 species
GACGAACGCUGGCGGCGUGCUUAACACAUGCCAGUCGAACGGAAAGGCCCUGCUUUUGUGGGGUGCUCGAGUGGCGAACGGGUGAGUAACACGUGAGUAACCUGCCCUUGACUUUGGGAUAACUUCAGGAAACUGGGGCUAAUACCGGAUAGGAGCUCCUGCUGCAUGGUGGGGGUUGGAAAGUUUCGGCGGUUGGGGAUGGACUCGCGGCUUAUCAGCUUGUUGGUGGGGUAGUGGCUUACCAAGGCUUUGACGGGUAGCCGGCCUGAGAGGGUGACCGGCCACAUUGGGACUAAGAGACGGCCCAGACUCCUACGGGAGGCAGCAGUGGGGAAUAUUGCACAAUGGGCGGAAGCCUGAUGCAGCAACGCCGCGUGCGGAAUGACGGCCUUCGGGUUGUAAACCGCUUUCGCCUGUGACGAAGCGUGAGUGACGGUAAUGGGUAAAGAAGCACCGGCUAACUACGUG